rnacentral:rRNA from 1 species
GACGAACGCUGGCGGCGUGCUUAACACAUGCAAGUCGAACGGAAAGGCCCUGCUUUUGUGGGGUGCUCGAGUGGCGAACGGGUGAGUAACACGUGAGUAACCUGCCCUUGACUUUGGGAUAACUUCAGGAAACUGGGGCUAAUACCGGAUAGGAGCUCCUGCUGCAUGGUGGGGGGUGGAAAGUUUCGGCGGUUGGGGAUGGACUCGCGGCUUAUCAGCUUGUUGGUGGGGUAGUGGCUUACCAAGGCUUUGACGGGUAGCCGGCCUGAGAGAGUGACCGGACACAUUGGGACUGAGAUAAGGCACAGACUCCUACGGGAGGCAUCAGUGGGGAAUAUUGCACAAUGGGAGGAAGCCUGAUGCAGCAACGCCGCGUGCGGGAUGACGGCCUUCGGGUUGUAAACCGCUUUCGCCUGUGACGAAGCGUGAGUGACGGUAAUGGGUAAAGAAGCACCGGCUAACUACGUG